UACGGGGGGGGUAAGCGUUGUUCGGAAUUACUGGGCGUAAAGGGCUCGUAGGCGGCCAACUAAGUCAGACGUGAAAUCCCUCAGCUUAACUGGGGAACUGCGUCUGAUACUGGAUGGCUUGGAUUCGGGAGAGGAAUGCGGAAUUCCAGGUGUAGCGGUGAAAUGCGUAGAUAUCUGGAGGAACACCGGUGGCGAAGGCGGGUCUCUGGGCCGAUACUGACGCUGAGGAGCGAAGGCGUGGGGAGCGAACAGG
rnacentral:rRNA from 1 species